rnacentral:lncRNA from 1 species
GGAAAGUUAAAAAUGGUUAUAUCUUUAUUAUAUGAUUAAAGUUAGAUUAUCUCUCUCUGCUCAAAAAGUUGACAUAAUCUAGAAGUGGAUGAAAUCGCAUAUGAAACUGAAGAGACGCAGAAACAGCACAUAAUCAAAGCCUUAAGAGCUAAAGCAUUUGCACAGUUAGCAUCUGUGUCUUCAUCCUCUUUAAAUUCCCAACACCCAGUAUGACAUCCAUCAGACAGCUGCACUCAAUAGUCUUAUAAAAACAAAUGAAUGAAAAAACUAGGGCAAAG